rnacentral:rRNA from 1 species
UGAGGAAUCUUGGACAAUGGGCGAAAGCCUGAUCCAGCCAUGCCGCGUGAAUGAUGAAGGCCUUAGGGUUGUAAAAUUCUUUCAGCAGGGAAGAUAAUGACGGUACCUGCAAAAGAAGCCCCGGCUAACUCCGUGCCAGCAGCCGCGGUAAUACGGAGGGGGCUAGCGUUGUUCGGAAUUACUGGGCGUAAAGCGCUCGUAGGCGGAUUGGUCAGUCAGAGGUGAAAGCCCAGGGCUCAACCUUGGAAUUGCCUUUGAUACUGCCAGUCUUGAGUUCAGGAGAGGUAAGCGGAAUUCCGAGUGUAGAGGUGAAAUUCGUAGAUAUUCGGAGGAACACCAGAGGCGAAGGCGGCUUACUGGACUGAUACUGACGCUGAGGAGCGAAAGCGUGGGGAGCAAACAGG